rnacentral:rRNA from 1 species
UACGAAGGGGGCUAGCGUUGCUCGGAAUCACUGGGCGUAAAGCGCACGUAGGCGGCUUUCUAAGUCAGGGGUGAAAUCCUGGAGCUCAACUCCAGAACUGCCUUUGAUACUGGAGAGCUUGAGUCCGGGAGAGGUGAGUGGAACUCCGAGUGUAGAGGUGAAAUGCGCAGAUAUCGGGAAGAACACCUAUGGCGAAGGCAGCUCUCUGGGACGGUACUGACGCUGAGACGCGAAAGCGUGGGGAGCAAACAGG